AUAAUCUGUCACAGGGAGAAAUUGGUCAAUUGUUCGGAAGCGGUUGAGUUUUCGAAAAAUUGCAAUAGGGGACAAAAGAUGUUCAGUUUGCCGAGUGCUAGCUAUAGGGCGGCUCAGGGGUGCCCCUUCCCAUUGAAAGGAGGUGCAUGUUUGGUCUGUGUCCCGAAGGCCAGGGUCAUUCAGGGUCGUCUGGGGUCAUUAAGGGAUGCGCUCCUCUGGGAUCUAAUCUUUGACUAGGUAUCGUCUUCCAAUCUCUAACGGUUUACGGGAAAAAUGCGCUGAUCAUUUUAUUUGACUCACCCUGUAUAUCAUUGAAUAGAUUAGCAACUGUUUCAUAUGAUCUAAUUUUAUCAUGAAAUCCCUAAUCUUAAUAACAGUAAUUCUUUUUUUUUUUUUUCAGUUAAAUAAAUUUUUAACUAAAAUCAAAAAUGCCUGUAUAUCAUCACAGAGGAUUGCUUCUGUGACAGUGAUAUUGGUAGGGAGAAGGUGCAUUCAAGUUCUAAGGUUUCCUAAUUUAUUUUGGAAAAAGUACUCACCCUUAAAAUAGUGUAAAAAUGCUAAAACUGCCCACUUUUCAAUAUAGUCACCCUCUAGGUAUAUACAUUUUUCACAAUGAUGAUACCACAAUUGCAUAGCCACUGUGAAUGCUUUUUUAGAGGUCUGUUUUGUCCAUUGAAAAAUAGCUGAUGCUGGAAAAUGUGUGGUCACAAAGAGUGUCUUUUAGCAUUGGAAAAAGUCAAAACUUACUAAGUAUAAAAUCAGAUGAGUAGAGAGUGUUAGAAACAAGUUCAAAGUUGGUGUCAUGCAGCCUUAUGGUUGUUUGCCAACAUUUAAAAAACCUAUCUGGAAGAAACUUUCUGGUAUUCAUGCAGAAUUCUAUGCACAAAUCCUCUGGAAAUGUCAAUUUGGGAGACUAUCUCUUCUAUAGUCUAUUGAAGGUCUUCCAUAACCAUUUACUCCAUUCAAGCAAUCAUGUUGUUGGACUGGCUGGUACAUGGCUGAGGCACCUUCAGUUUGUUGCCACAUGAUAUUCAGCAUUCUUUGAACUGUCACACUUAUGCACAUAUAUUUUCAUAUCCAUGAUGCUAUCAUCGCAAGUUUCAUUCAACUGAUGAUGAAUUUCGAUGGGUGUCAUUCCAUGGAAGUAGAGAUAAUGGAUAAUAACAUGUUGUUCUUUGAAUAUGAACAUUGCCAUUUCAGUAUUUGAAACACUUUUGCCACCAACCUAAGCUACAAUUUUUUUGUGUGCCAUAUGGGGCUGCCAUCUGUCUCACCUAAUUUUAAUAAAUGCCAGCAUAUUUUAAAACAAUUGUCAUGUUUCUAUUUGCUUCCAUUCUGAAGAAAAUAAUUAGAAUCUUAGAACUUGAAUAUACCUUAUAUUUUCAAUUUCUCUAGUCACUUAUACUUUGUGAUAAGUGCAUCUUUUGAGAAAAUGUUUCAAAUAAUUUUUGUAUUUUUUGUGUGGAAUUAGAAUAUGCAAUAAAAAAUAAGAGAUCUUG
rnacentral:lncRNA from 1 species